rnacentral:rRNA from 1 species
UGGGGAAUAUUGGACAAUGGGCGCAAGCCUGAUCCAGCAAUGCCGCGUGAGUGAUGAAGGCCUUAGGGUUGUAAAGCUCUUUUACCCGGGAUGAUAAUGACAGUACCGGGAGAAUAAGCCCCGGCUAACUCCGUGCCAGCAGCCGCGGUAAUACGGAGGGGGCUAGCGUUGUUCGGAAUUACUGGGCGUAAAGCGCACGUAGGCGGCUUUGCAAGUUAGAGGUGAAAGCCCGGAGCUUAACUCCGGAAUUGCCUUUAAAACUGCAUCGCUAGAAUUGUGGAGAGGUGAGUGGAAUUCCGAGUGUAGAGGUGAAAUUCGUAGAUAUUCGGAAGAACACCAGUGGCGAAGGCGACUCACUGGACACAUAUUGACGCUGAGGUGCGAAAGCGUGGGGAGCAAACA